CCCAUGAGUCCCUGGGCGGCCGUGGGGUCAAAGGUCUCGUCGGCGACAGUGUCGGGGGACGGGUGCCCAGGCGACGCUUGUCCUACUUAGUAACGGCCCCCAAGCACCGGAGGAGCUUGGCCGGCGGUUCUGGGGCGCGGGAGAGGGGACCCAACUGCUUCCUUUAAGGAAAAGGCGCCCGUCCGGGGCUUGGGGAGCAAAGGAGUGACGCGGCGCCGAGGUCGCGGGGAGCCGCCCUAAGAGCGCACCUGCCGACCUGACACUGGGACGCAGGAGGAGGACACGCCUGCUGGGCACACCUCAGACCCGAAAGUUACAGCCCAGCGGAAGGCAGCAAAGCCGCCUUCUGUUUUGUGAGCAGAGUCGCUGCUGAGGUCACCUGCCCUGAAAGGGGGAUGGAGCAUCCAGCUGUCCCCAGUAAUUACAGCCGGAGUCAGGGGCAGAAGGCGCACUCGGGAACCCCCUGUGUCACAUUCCUGGUGCCUCCGCACGUUCAUGCACAGAGACGUCAAAGACGCCUGCAUCCCACACAACUAAAGCCGGCGUCGGUGCCCAGAGGAAACGUGAUGUCUUUGCUGAAGAUGAAGAUUCCCCUACAGCCCUGUUUGCUCCAAACACAGCUCUUCCUGGCCAAGGUUCUAUAGUUCUCCAAUUUUACGUGUUGCCCUUGGACAUUGAAAACAAUCGUUUUCCGUGCAAAGAAACCCGGUCUUGGAGAGUUUGAGUGACAUGCCCAAGGCCAUGCAGUUCAUUUGGUCUGGAAGGCACUUCUCAGCAGCCAUGCUGAAGAGGACAGGGACAGGCUGACACCCGUUCAGAGGACAGUGAUGUGGCCACCACGCAGAGCAGCUCCCUCCGCGUGACUCGUGGUUGAAGGCCCAGAACGCCCUGUGCGGGGAGGUGACAGAUGCUGUUUCCGCAGCCCCGCCGUCUCAGGAAGAGGGAGGCCACCGCUUGCCACGAUGAGUUGAAAUGAAUCCAGCUACACGGAGCUGGAAGAAGACCUUUCUUGGGUGCCUUUUCAGUUAUGAGGAAGGACAUUCUGAUGUGAAGAGCUGUCUAGAGACGGCCCGGGGUGCUUCUGGACAAGGGGGCCUCUAACUUCUCCAUUUACAAAAGAACUCGUUCGCUUUGCAAACUUGCUGAAGGUUGCUGGCUGUACACGGGUCCAGCAGUCAUGGCUCCCAAGACCAAAGGCCGGAUGGCGCUCCUAGGCUGCCCCUGAACUGCUUGUGGCUUCUGGUCCGAAGAGCUUACAGCAUUGUUUGCCAUCCACUUGUUCCAAGAUCCAGGCACUGCUGAAACCAUAGCCCAAGGACACUUCCAAGAACUAGACAAAAGGCAGCGCUGUGUCACCUCCAGUCCUAAGGCCGCUGAUGGAGGAGUUAAGGCAGAACCAGGACGGCGUGGGGAGGUCAGGAAAGUGAAAUCUCCAUCGGCUGCUACGGCAGAUGAAUCGGGAACGGAUAAAACCCAUUGAUCACGAAUGAGGGGUUCAGAAAAUCUGUGUUUUUAGAUACGCGGAGGUCGCUGCCCGAAGCAGCUGCCUGCAGAGUUCAGAGCAGCUGCCUCUUGAGGAGUGGAGCUGGGUGGGGAGUGCGGGCGGCAGGGCGGUCUUGCUUUCAGUUUUAAGUGCUUCUUGUUAUUUUCCUUUUAAACAUGCUCACACGUUGCUUUAGUGAAAAUGUACACACAUGCGUGCGCACACACACACACAUGCACGCAGGCCUCUGGCUCCGGUUCUGAGUGAUGCUAAAUGGUUUUCCAAUGUGGGUAGAGCCUGCAAAACAGUCUGCAGCUGGACCGUGCUCUCCCCAGGGGCCAGAGCAUUUGCAAUAGUCAGAAAACGCCUCUGCCUUUGGUCUGCUCCCCCCCCCACCCCCCACCCCGUCACCAACCCCGGUCUGACUCUGACGAUGUCCCCCCCCCACCCCCCGCCGCUUUCCCCCAGCUUAUGUUCUCCUCUUUCCUCAUAAAAAGUUAUUGGAGCUCUCAGAAUAUUAGAACAUGAAUUUUUCUGUGAUAUAAAGAUUUAGCUGAACACUGAUUCUAAAAGGGAUAUGCAUUUUUUAUUUGGAAACUCCCUUGCACCAGGGCAGCACUUCCCAAAGAGGUAGCAUGUGGGAUGUUUGACCAGCCGUGGGAGAUGGAACCACAAGCCAGUCGUGAGAAACCUCCUACCCAGAGUCUCCGGCGCUUUUCUCUAGCUCUUGUUGACACUGAAUGAUACAGACAAAGAAAUGGAUUUCUCUUUUACCUCCGCAAAACCCCUUGCAGGUGCGUCCAACCUCCAAAGCGUUCCCUGAAGCAUCCUCUCUUUUGUCUUGUGGGGCCACAUGUCGGCGUUUUUCUUUUCCACUUCAAAACCAGAGUUGUUCUGUUAUUGCCAAACUGAAGGUACAGGGUAGCAAAAGGACAUGUUUUUCACACCCAGCUCCCGGAAGGGUGGAGGGCCAUCGUGGACCAAGUGCCAGAAGAAUGUGCUUUGUCCCGGGGCAGGGGCUUAGCAGCACCCUCCCGGAGAAACCAGGAGCUUUCUGGGAGGUCCCAGAAGUGCGACGUCUGUCAGCUAUGCCGAUGCAGACACAGGUCAGAAGACCAGCUCCUGGCGUGGCUUCCAGGGCUGUGAGGGCUCUGCUGUGGUCUGAUCCAAGCUGGCAGGAUUCUCUGAUAGGUGUCUGGGUUUUAAGGGGAUGAGAUAGUGGCACUCACUUGGCAGAAAGUUCAAAUCCGUAGAAAGAGCCGUAUUUUGCUGCCCGGAGAGUUGGGACAGGCUUUGUAGAACCUUUACUUUCCUUUGACUUAGGCGUCCUUGUCUUUGUUUUUUUAUCCCUUUUUUCCCUCCAGCUGGAGUUCUAGUUUUUGCUUUGGACUGUAUUUGGGGUGGUUGGAAAAGGUUGAACCCUGGGUGAAUAAUCCUCAGAAUGUUUAGUACCUUGGCACUCCUAAUUGGGCGAGCUUUUCUUGGUAACUUUCAUCAGCAAUACCCUGAUAUUCCACUCAGAUUCCAAGAGAGGGCGGUUCUGUUCCCCCAAGGUCUGGGCAUCUCAUUUUCACGCAGCUAAAUCCAAAAGUCCCAAAUAUCAUGGGACUGGGCUCUGUUGCCGGCAGGACGCCCACCUUCGGGAGUCAGGAGGGGACAGUUGUGUCAGUAUGUGCCGAGCUUUGCUUCGGAGACCAGAACCUGCAGGUCGUAUUCCCACAGGGCUCCGAAGCCUCCGCCUAGACUUGACUCUGCGCCAGGGGAAUACAACCCACUUUUUUCCCUGAGGGAAUUUAGUGUUUCUUUCUGGAGCCACAUUUUCUCUGGUGCUCUGACUCUUACAUCUGUCUCCAGCCCGGGCUACGCCCAACACAUUGCUGCCACAUUUCCAGAAAGAAUUGCGUGUGUCUGAGAACAUCCAUGAGGCUGAGCGCCACGCGCCGUGCGUGGCCGCCCCCGUCGCUAGAAGGGUGCGCUCUGGGCAGCCCUGGCUGCAGCUCGCGGCCUCAUCAAACACAGACCCAAGGACUUCUGCCCCUAGAGCUGGUCCCCAGCUACUUUAUUUUAUUUUAUUCUUACGGCCAC